rnacentral:rRNA from 1 species
AUUGAACGCUGGCGGCAUGCCUUACACAUGCAAGUCGAACGGUAACAGGUCUUCGGAUGCUGACGAGUGGCGAACGGGUGAGUAAUACAUCGGAACGUGCCCGCGAGUGGGGGAUAACGAAGCGAAAGCUUUGCUAAUACCGCAUACGAUCUCAGGAUGAAAGCAGGGGACCGCAAGGCCUUGCGCUCACGGAGCGGCCGAUGGCAGAUUAGGUAGUUGGUGGGAUAAAAGCUUACCAAGCCGACGAUCUGUAGCUGGUCUGAGAGGACGACCAGCCACACUGGGACUGAGACACGGCCCAGACUCCUACGGGAGGCAGCAGUGGGGAAUUUUGGACAAUGGGCGCAAGCCUGAUCCAGCCAUGCCGCGUGAGUGAAGAAGGCCUUCGGGUUGUAAAGCUCUUUUGUCAGGGAAGAAAAGGUUCUGGUUAAUACCUGGGACUCAUGACGGUACCUGAAGAAUAAGCACCGGCUAACUACGUGCCAGCAGCCGCCGUAAACC